rnacentral:lncRNA from 1 species
GGAGCCGGCGCUUUUGCAGUUGCUUCUGCGGAAAGGUGGUAGUUAAGAAUUUGUAAAGGCCAGAGAACUACCUACGAUUCUCUCAGCGGGUAAUUGGCUGCUCCUAGGUUUGUGUAACAAGAGGCAAAACUGGAAGAGUUUUAUGGAAGAAAAUUGGUUGUUGCUGAUAGAGAAGAAGUGGAACAAGAAGCAGAUAAUAUUUUAAAGGAUGCUGAUAUCAGUGAUGUUGCAUUCCUUGUGGUUGGUGAUCCAUUUGGGGCCACAACACACAGUGAUCUUGUUCUAAGAGCAACAAAGCUGGGAAUUCCUUAUAGAGUUAUUCACAAUGCCUCCAUAAUGAAUGCUGUAGGCUGCUGUGGUUUACAGUUAUAUAAGUUUGGAGAGACAGUUUCUAUUGUUUUUUGGACAGACACUUGGAGACCAGAAAGCUUCUUUGACAAAGUGAAGAAGAACAGACAAAAUGGCAUGCACACAUUAUGUUUACUAGACAUCAAAGUAAAGGAGCAGUCUUUGGAAAAUCUAAUCAAGGGAAGGAAGAUCUAUGAACCUCCACGGUAUAUGAGUGUAAACCAAGCAGCCCAGCAGCUUCUGGAGAUUGUUCAAAAUCAAAGAAUACGAGGAGAAGAACCAGCAGUUACCGAGGAGACACUUUGUGUUGGCUUAGCCAGGGUUGGAGCCGACGACCAGAAAAUUGCAGCAGGCACUUUAAGGCAAAUGUGCACUGUGGACUUGGGAGAACCAUUGCAUUCCUUGAUCAUCACAGGAGGCAGCAUACAUCCAAUGGAGAUGGAGAUGCUAAGUCUGUUUUCCAUACCAGAAAAUAGCUCAGAAUCUCAAAGCAUCAAUGGACUUUGAACAUAGAUAUUUACCAUUGUCUGAUGUAAAUUUCAGCCAUAUAUGGAUUGAUAUGGUUUGGAUGUAUCCCCACCCAAGUCUCAUCUUGAAUUU